rfam:Nelumbo nucifera unplaced genomic scaffold scaffold00067, whole genome shotgun sequence
AGCUAGGUGCCAUUAGGCACCACAUAGACCAAGAAGUAAAAUACAU